rnacentral:rRNA from 1 species
UGAAUACGAGACGCUAAGGCGUCGAAGUAGUGUAUGUCAUACUUCCAAGAAAAGCUUGCACUGUCAUAGAUAAAAAACGCCUGUACCAUAACCGACACAGGUGGGUAGGUAGAGUAUACUAAGGGGCGCGAGAUAACUCUCUCUAAGGAACUCGGCAAAAUAACUCCGUAACUUCGGGAGAAGGAGUGCCUUAUUCGUAAGGUUGCAAUAACAAGAUCCAAGCAACUGUUUAUCAAAAACACAGGUCUCCGCUAAGUCGUAAGACGAUGUAUGGGGGCUGACGCCUGCCCAGUGCCAGAAGGUUAAAGAAGUUGGUUAGCAAUUGCGAAGCUGAUAACUGAAGCCCUGGUGAACGGCGGCCGUAACAAUAACGGUCCUAAGGUAGCGAAAUUCCUUGUCGGGUAAGUUCCGACCCGCACGAAAGGCGUAAUGAUUUGGAUACUGUCUCGGAGAGGGGCUCGGUGAAAUAGACUUGUCUGUGAAGAUGCGGACUACCUGCACCAGGACAGAAAGACCCUAUGAAGCUUUACUGUAACUUGAAAUUGAAAUUGGACUUUAUUCGCGCAGCAUAGGUGGGAGGCGUUGAUUAUAAUCUUGCGGGAUUAUUGGAGCCAUCAGUGAGAUACCACUCUUGUAAUGUUAGAUUUCUAACUUUGAAUCAUUAUCUGGUCAAAGAACAGUUUCAGGCGGGCAGUUUGACUGGGGCGGUCGCCUCCUAAACGGUAACGGAGGCGUACAAAGGUUUCCUCUGAACGGUUAGAACUCGUAUCUAGAGUGUAAAGGCAUAAGGAAGCUUGACUGUGAGACCUACAAGUCGAGCAGGGACGAAAGUCGGUCUUAGUGAUCUGACGGUACUGAGUGGAAAGGCCGUCACUCAACGGAUAAAAGUUACUCUAGGAUAACAGGCUGAUCUCCCCCAAGAGUUCACAUCGACGGGGGGGUUUGGCACCUGGAUGUCGGCUCAUCGCAUCCUGGGGCGGUAGUACGUCCCAAGGGUUGGGCUGUUCGCCCAUGAAAGCGGUACGCGAGCUGGGUUCAGAACGUCGUGAGACAGUUCGGUCCAUAUCCGGUGUAGGCGUUAGAAUAUUGAGAGGAGCCUUCUUUAGUACGAGAGGACCGAGAAGGACAUACCUCUGGUGUACCAGUUAUCGUGCCAACGGUAAACGCUGGGUAGCUAUGUAUGGAGUGGAUAACCGCUGAAAGCAUCUAAGUGGGAAGCCCACCUCAAGAUAAGUAUUCUCA